ensembl:misc_RNA Metazoa_SRP Metazoan signal recognition particle RNA
GUUGGGUGUGGUGGUGCACACCUGUAAUCCCAGCUACUUGGGAGGCUGAGGCAGAAGAAUUGUUUGAACCCAGGAGGUGGAGUUGGCAGUGAGCUGAGAUCAUGCCACUGCAUUCCAUCCUGGGCAACAGAGCAAGAUUCCAUCUCAA